AUUGAACGCUGGCGGCAGGCCUAACACAUGCAAGUCGAACGGUAACAGGAAGAAGCUUGCUUCUUUGCUGACGAGUGGCGGACGGGUGAGUAAUGUCUGGGAAACUGCCUGAUGGAGGGGGAUAACUACUGGAAACGGUAGCUAAUACCGCAUAACGUCGCAAGACCAAAGAGGGGGACCUUCGGGCCUCUUGCCAUCGGAUGUGCCCAGAUGGGAUUAGCUAGUAGGUGGGGUAACGGCUCACCUAGGCGACGAUCCCUAGCUGGUCUGAGAGGAUGGCCAGCCACACUGGAACUGAGACACGGUCCAGACUCCUACGGGAGGCAGCCGUGGGGAAUAUUGCACAAUGGGCGCAAGCCUGAUGCAGCCAUGCCGCGUGUAUGAAGAAGGCCUUCGGGUUGUAAAGUACUUUCAGCGGGGAGGAAGGGAGUAAAGUUAAUACCUUUGCUCAUUGACGUUACCCGCAGAAGAAGCACCGGCUAACUCCGUG
rnacentral:rRNA from 1 species